ACAAUCUGCCAUAUUUGAGAGAAAAUGAGUGUGAAAACCGCUGCAAUAGUAAAUAUAAUUUGUAUGCCUGGAUGGACAGACACACUCCAUCUCACCAAGGCAAAUAUCACAAGAAAGCUCAUAAUAAUGAAACCGCCAACAACAUAGCCCUUCAAAUGUAAAACCACAAGUAAUUUUUGUAGGUGCGUAAGAAUCAGUGAAGGAUAUAAAAAGAAAAAGGAAAGGCAAUCAACAUACCUUCCUUGUUUCACGUCUUAAUACAUGUAUUGCCAUCAGUGCGUGGAAAUGUGAAUUAAUAAUCAGACCAUGGCAUAAUCGGAAUCAACGGUAAUGCUCCUCUCAACAAUCAAGCUAUAUGCAAUCCACAUCAAGGAGUUACAAAUGCCCAGGUACAUUGUUGGGAUACUAAAGUAGUUCAGGACGCUAUCAACGCUGCCAGUAUAGACUAGGUACAGGCAACAGUCCUUAUAGAACCGAAGAUGUGGACGAAAGAUAGAUCACAACAUUCCUGCUAACCUAGUAGAUGAUGAGACUUGCCAAUUAAGCAGGAAAGUCAAUAGCUGGGCUCAUGUGUGUGAGGCCUGAACAUGUGUGUGAAGCCUAUACAUGUGUGUAUAAAAUAAUGAUGUUACUGUGAUGCUAAAUGUGUGCGUAAUUGCUCAAUACAUUGUUACUGUGAUGCUGAAAUACUCUUCAUCAUCUAGAUAUCAAAUUAUCUCACAUUAACACUUAACCAUUCCACAUUACCACUUCAUCAUCCCACAUAAACACUACAACGUCCCAUAUAAGCUAUACAUCAUCCCACAGAAGCUAUACAUCAUCCCACAGAAGCUACAAGAUCAGACAAAAGCAUUUCCUCACCCAACAGAAGCAUUAUACCAUCCCACAAAAGCACUACAUCAUCCUAGAAAAGCACC
rnacentral:lncRNA from 1 species